AUAGAAUAAAGGAAGAUAACCUGAAAUCUAUGAGCACUAACUCUGGGGCAGGUGAAGUAUAGGAAGAAUGAAGGAAACAAACCUUAGCUAACCCCUGGCACUGCCAGGUUAUCAUUGCAAGGCACUGACCUUUGACAACAAUUGUCGCAUUAUUACCCGACUGUUCUAAGUGAUGACAGGCAUAGUCACAGCACAUGACCCGGGACAGAAACAGUAUCUAAGCUAGUGCUCUUUCCACUUCAUUAAUUUAAAUGAUAAGCUCAAGCACUUAUACAAACAUGGUUGUGGUUGUGAUAUUGGCUCAGAUUUCAAGACUAAUUUAAGUCACCACAAGAACUUUAUCCUAAGUCAAGAAAAGCAAAUUGAGUUUAAUGGAGAGCUCAGCUUUUCCCCUCCCCUGUGGCUUCUUUGAAAUAAAUGCUUCAAGAGAGUGACUCAACUCCCAGUUCUUAUUUAACACACCUUCUGGAGAUAGGCCUCUGAAACCCAGCGUGAGACUUGCAAGGUGGUGUGAGUUUUGAAGAAAUCUCAAGAUGACAUCACAACCCUCCUCUCUGAAAAAAUGAACAGAUUCCACCCUGCUCCCUGGGUACUGGCAUUUCAGUAUGCAGUAGGAAACCAACCCAACAGGGCCUGCUCCCAGUAGGACUCCUCAGGCCUCUACUCUCCCAGCUCCAGCUUUUCCACCUGCGCUUGAGUCAAGGCCUGUACCAGGAGUGGGUAGAAGGAAAUCUGCUGGAGUCAAGACCUCUUGGCCAAGGCUCUAAGCCCUGCAUCAUGCUCUGCUGUCCUGUAAGUUUUCAUUUACAAUUUGAGGACAGCAGUGACUUAUUAUUACACCUCCAGGGUGGAGCCCUUCUGAGCAUGGGGCUGAGUGAUUGUACUGGAGCCAGGAGGCUGGCUCAGAUUAUCAGUUCACUUUUCCUGUAUUUCUUACCUGAUUGGAAAUUUGGAGAAAGACAAGGGAAUAAUUACCACUACCUUCCAAGUGCUUCCAGCAGUUCUAUGAAAGCACUUAUAUCACCUAUAAUUUAAUAAUUACAAUUUAUAAUUUGAUAAGUAUGGUUAUUGUUACUGUACAGAGAGGAAACUGAGGCUCGAUGAGUUAAAUAACUUAUUAAGGGCAUAAAGCUAUUAAGUGGGAGAACUAAAAUUCAGUUUCCUUAGGCUAUUGUUAUGAUCUGAAGAUGGUUUGUCCCCCACAGGUACAAAGAGAACAUGUAUGAAUCUCCUACAAUGUACCUGCCAGACACUUGACAUCAAUUAUCUGAUCCCUACAAAAUUCCAAGAUAGUUAUCUUAUUGAGUUGGUUCUUUGACAAGAUGGUAAGGGGAUUAGGGAUACGGGAGCCAGUAUUAUAGACAGCUAAGUUAGGUAAAAAUAUAAUAGGCAGUCAGACAGGG